AGUAACACAUAGUCUAGGAGUAGCACAUAGUCUAGGAGUAGCACAUGCUCAUCUACCUAAUGUGUACUGAUCCCACAGUCUAUCAUUGUCUAGCUAUUGUUUUAUGCUUGCACUAUUUUAAUUAACAGAUUGAACAGAUACUGUAGAUAAUUUGCCAUGUUAUUGCUCCAUUUUAGUGAUGCCACAGGUCAUUCUCAGGUCAAUUCACCAAGGUUUCCUAUUCGGAGGCCUUGUGUGGAGCUAUAGCAGUGCUCGGUAACAAAACCCCAUGAAUUUCAGCUUUGCUGUAAUUUUUCUGACUUAAAUUUUCCAUGAUUUAAUUUGUGACUUUGUUCAGGCUGUUUGGCUGAAGGCUGUGUCAGAAGGAAAGGAGGAGACAAAGUCAUUCCAGCCCUACCCCAGUGGUGGUGUACUCUACUCCAAGUAGGCCUAGGGAGGGAUAGCACUGGGUAAGACAUGGCCUAAAUGAAUGGGUCGUACACCAGCUUUACACUAUAUUUUACCAACACCCUUUGUUAACAUUUUCACAAUUGUUAAGUUCAGGUACAGUCCAAAUUUAAACUUUUAGUUUUGCUGGAUUGAAAAAAUAUAUACACCUCUCAUCAACAGAGAUUUAAAAAAAAAACAUUGAUGAAGCAUGUGUUGUAAUUUUAACAUUGUAAAUCUCUCUCGGACAAGGUGACUUUUGGCAAUAUAUUCGCCUGUAUUUACCCCCCAAAAAGUAUAUGCUAAUUAGCCACUAAUGUGGCUAUCAUACAAAACUACAGUACACACGCCUGUCACAAGCUUCACGUCAAUCACCAGGGCCAUGAUGAUCUAGACGAAACUACAGAAUAGAGGCAAAGAACCAAUGGGUGUGCCGAGUCUUAUCACCUCUCAACUAGGCGGCGGCUGCUAAGAAGAAGGGAGCAACAGGCCAGAAGACUGCAGCCAAGGCAGCACUGGUCCACACCUUCCCUGUCUGUCGGAUGCAGACCCCAAAGAUAUUCAAGCAGCAUUUUGAGAGCAAGCGUCCCAAGUCUCCAAUGGUCGUUUUACUGGUUGAUGUGCAGGCCUACAGCUGCGACACACGAUGACCACGAUUUUAAUGCUGUCAACUGAGACGGAAUGACGUCAAGGGACACACGCUGAGACCCUGAGUAUGACUGGACAUGGGAGGGCCAGAUAUUUGUGACAAUGAUCUAAAAUGGGUGCAGAAGCACACCAGAACCCUAUUUUAUGUUUAUGUUAUGGCCAACCACCCCUUUAGCUACCCCUUAUUCCACACCAGGGGCGCAACUUUCACUGGAGACGGGGGGGGGGGACAUGCCUGGGAGCAGGCAUGUUUCCUUCAGUUGUUCUUCUCCUGAUUUGAUAACAUCUAGACUCAGUUACACGCUUCUAAGUGUUGUGGUGUGCUGUUUUUGCUACCUUUUUUUCCACCUGUGUAGUGCUGUCCUCCUGCUUAUUCUGGGGUUCAGACUGUAUGCAGCGGUAAAUGUGCUGCUUAUAAUUGGCAGCAGCAACAUGGACCUAAAUUGACAAGAAGGGUGUUGAUAUAGCUGCAUAUAGGCAUGGCAUCCUUGUUUAAAAUCUGCUAAGUGUGCAUUUCUGUUUCUCAUUCUUCUGGAGUUGACCCAGUAUUUUGUAUUAAACCUACCUUAACACAUCCAGUUGAUUGUCCACUUGUAACUCACACAACAAAAAUCAAGAUAUGCUGUUUUACAUGUGUUAUUUGUGCUGGUCUAA